GACGAACGCUGGCGGCGUGCUUAACACAUGCAAGUCGAACGGAAAGGCCUGUCCUUCCUUGUGUUGGACGGGUACUCGAGUGGCGAACGGGUGAGUAACACGUGAGUGAUCUGCCCCCAACUUGGGUAUAAGCCUGGGAAACUGAGUCUAAUUCCCGAUAGGACUGCAGGGUGGUGCCUGUGGUGGAAAACGAUUUUCUAGUGGUUGGGGAUGAGCUCGCGGCCUAUCAGCUUGUUGGUGGGGUAAUGGCCUACCAAGGCGGCGACGGGUAGCCGGCCUGAGAGGGUGGACGGCCACAUUGGGACUGAGAUACGGCCCAGACUCCUACGGGAGGCAGCAGUGGGGAAUAUUGCACAAUGGGCGGAAGCCUGAUGCAGCGACGCCGCGUGGGGGAUGACGGCCUUCGGGUUGUAAACUCCUUUCGACCGCGAGGAAGCCGCCUGGUUGGAAGGGUGGUGACGGUAGUGGUAGAAGAAGCACCGGCUAACUACGUG
rnacentral:rRNA from 1 species